AUAUUGCACAAUGUGCGCAAGCCUGACGCAGCAACGCCCCGUGCGUGAUGAUGGUCUUCGGGUCGUCAAGCUCUUUGAUCAGGGCGGAUAAUGACCGUACCUGAAAAACAAGCCACGGCUAACUACUUUCCAGCAGCCGCGGCAAUACGAAGGUGGCGAGCGUUGUCCGGAAUUACUGGGCGUAAAGGAUGCGUAGGUGGAUACUUAAGUGGGAUGUGAAAUCCCCGGGCUCAACCCGGGAACUGCAUUCCAAACUGGGUAUCUAGAGUGCAGGAGAGGAAAGCGGAAUUCCUAGUGUAGCGGUGAAAUGCGUAGAUAUUAGGAGGAACACCAGUGGCGAAGGCGGCUUUCUGGACUGUAACUGACACUGAGGCAUGAAAGCGUGGGUAGCAAACAGG
rnacentral:rRNA from 1 species